rnacentral:misc_RNA from 1 species
UAAAAAAAAAAAAUGCUGGUCUGUCCCUUUUCAAGUGUAAAAUUUCUAGACUUUGGAAGCUUUUCUUUUAUUGCUUGCAUUUAAAAGCCUUGUAAAUUAUAUAUUAUGACAUUCUCAAGCCAAAUGAAUAGAUUGGCAUUUGGCAAUAAGAGUGAGUGAGUGUGUGCCUGUGUGUGCGCACGCACACACAUAUACACACCAAUGCCAGAAUACACUAGCUAAGCACACUUUGAUUUGCUUUCUGCUUAUUUUAUGACAACCACAGUAAUAUUAUUAAAAAAAAUUACUGGUCUGUCCCAUUUCAAGUGUAAAAUCUCUACGACUUUGGAAGCCUUCUUUUAUUGCUUGCAUUUGAAGAGCCUUGUGAAUUAUAUAUAUAUAUAUAGUAAUGUAGAUGCAAUUUUUUUUUUCUUUUAUUAUCACACACUUGUUUUUAAAUAUGUUAUUAUGUACACAUACAAAGUAUGUGCACAUAAGUAGCAUAUAAGAAAAAGAAUUGUUAAAUCCUUACUUGUUUGACGUGCAAGCCUGUUUAGUUAUCAAAUUCAAUUCAUUUAUCAAAUACUGUCUGUAAUCUAAUAAAACAACAAAUGUCCAAAUCUCAACAGCCCAGCUAUACUGCCCCCUCUAAACCUAAAAAGGAAAAAGAAGAAAAGAAAAUGAGAAAUCCUCCCUUCAGCCUGUGGGAUUUGUUUUACCAUUUUGACCUAUCACUUGCAUUAAUUUCCUUGUUUUUGCUGUUGAUGUGGUUUCUACCAUUGAGAAUCAUGGUUUGACUUUACGUCUCACUAUGAUCGCAGGGUUCUCCUUAUUCUUCAAGUUCUCUGUUUGUUAGCGCUGGAAUAGUUGUACUGUCUUUUGGGGAUGGGCCAGAGUCUUUUUUUGUUAAAUAAGCUUGUGUUAUGAGAGAUUAAAAAUUCCUGCAUGUUAAUAGAGAAAAGAAAUGAAAACAAAGUAGUUGAAAGAAAAUGAGUGGAAGAUGCGAUAAAUUUACUGGGAAAAAAGAAGAGUGAAAAAGAAAGAGGAACACAAGAACAUUUGAAGGGGCAAAAAAAAGAAAAUCAGAAAAAAUACAAAAGAAAGAUAUUGGAACACAAAAAAAUGAAAGAAAAAAUGGAGAUGAAAAGAUAAGAGAGAGAAAUCCAAUACGAUGGAUAGUGCAAAUCUAUUUCAAAAGAAAUCGAGUGAAAGAAGCAUGCAAAAGGCUUCUUGGAGGUUGCUGGAAUUGAUGGUAGUAUGUAUUUGAGAUGCUUCAACCAUGAUAUGUGAGAAUAGAAGUCAUUCCUUUCGAAGAGCGGAGGCAAGUCAGGAUAUGCAAUCUAAGUUGCAGACUGCGGAGCCUCGUCACUGCUGUUGGUAGUUGGUGCUUCCGAAAUAUGUGGUCAUUAAGCAGAAGUGGUGAAGGGUGUAAGAUUGUUGCUUCUUUGUGGUGGCUUAAUCUGUUGACUUCUGGUUAUUUUAUCCAAAGUGUUGGAAAUGUUUGACAAAUUUGUUUUAAUGUUUACUAGUGAAUUUACAAUGAGCUCUAAAGAUUCUUAUUUGCUUAUUUUGACUUGGUCAUUUUAUUAUUUACUUUAGGCACUUCUUGGGCGUGUCAUUUCUCGUUAGUCAUUCCUAAAUGGUUGUUCAACUCAUGGGAGUUUGCCAUAUGCAUUGUUGUUUUACUUAAUCUCAAGAAGAACAGCAUUUUAAAAUUUGUGAAUAAUCCAAGCUAGGGCAAAUUUAGAUAUGUGACAUGAUAGUAUAUAUUUUUCCUUCUUACAUUUAACUUUGAG